rnacentral:rRNA from 1 species
GACGUAGGGUGCAAGCGUUGUCCGGAUUUAUUGGGCGUAAAGAGCUCAUAGGCGGCUUGUUGCGUCGACUGUGAAAACCCGCGGCUUAACCGCGGGCUUGCAGUUGAUACGGGCAGGCUAGAGUUCGGUAGGGGAGACUGGAAUUCCUGGUGUAGCGGUGAAAUGCGCAGAUAUCAGGAGGAACACCGGUGGCGAAGGCGGGUCUCUGGGCCGAUACUGACGCUGAGGAGCGAAAGCGUGGGGAGCGAACAGG